CUCUACAUCAAGCUUGCCGCCCCCUGGUGAGACCGCACCAUUCUAGAUGAGCCACCACUCUCCGAUUAAAGGAACUGCUAAGAGUAAAAAUUUGAUUUCGACAUUUCCAUGGAGAAUCACUGACGAGCCACCACUCUCCGAUUAAAGGAACUGCUAAGAACAAAGUGUGAGGACCUCUCUUACGCCCUGGUAGAGGAAUGCCGCAGAAGAGGAGAAGCAGGAGCGGAGGAGGCAGAGGGAGCAUGAUGCACACCGAUUCGCGUCGGGGGACUUCCGAGACAAACCAUCGUAACUGAUGGUUACAGUGUUUUAUACUGAUAUUCCACGUGUUUUUAGAAAAAAUUUGUUGUAUUUUAUACUAAUCGUUUAUUGUAAGUUCAAUCCAAUUGUAUGAGCAUGUGGUCUCGCGUUUUAUGUGUACGACUGCGGCCAAUUCUCAUUUAAUGCUCAUUCAACUAGAACAACUAGCACUAGAACUAGAACACCUAGCUCUAGAACUAGAACAAAUAGCAGUAGAACUAGAACAAGUAGCUAUAGUACUAGAACAAGUAGCCCUGGAACUAGAACAACUAGCUCUAUAGUAACUAGAGCAACUAGCACCCUGAUUGUAAUCCCAUGCAUGUGCGUUCACGAUUGAAAUGCUUUCAAAUAAAUAUACUCCAAAUAAAAC